GUUUGAUCCUGGCUCAGGACGAACGCUGGCGGCGGGCUUAACACAUGCAAGUCGAAGGAGAAGGAAAGAGCUUGCUCUUUCUGGAGACUGGCGGACGGGUGAGUAACGCGUAGCUAACCUGCCUUUAACUGGGGGAUAACAUUCCGAAAGGGGUGCUAAUACCGCAUAAAGCAACUGAGUCGCAUGACUCUAGUUGUUAAAGGUUUCGACCGGUUAAAGAG
rnacentral:rRNA from 1 species